rnacentral:snoRNA from 1 species
UGGAUCGAUGAUGACAGCUGGUGUCAUAUGAGUCAUACAUGAUAGAUGCUGUGUUGUAACUCCUAUCUGA